AAGGGUCUCCGGGAAGCCUUGGCUUCUCCUCCCAUAAUACCGUGCUUUUGUCUACCAGGUCAUUUCUCUAUGGAAACAGCAGGAGAGAGACAGCGGAUGAAGAGGUCUAGGCAAGGAUGGGUGAGGACGCAGUAAGGAGCUGAAAGCUGCACCAGGCAGAGAAUGGCCCACCCCAUCACUUAACAAGGCUGGCAUCCCCGCAUCUAUCUGUUAAAGCUGCCUGUGAACAAGAAGCUGUGAUGUUCCGUACAACCAGGGAUGUGUGGGUUUGUGGACAACAGACGAUUUUCUAGUUGUUGUUUUUUUUUUUAAGAUUCUUUCCCCUUACAGAAAAGGGGCUCUGAUACGCCUGAAUUAAAUCACCUUUCAAAAGCCAAGAAACAAAUCAUCGUCCCCUAAGGAUGACUGAGGAGCAAGAAGCCAGUACUUACUGUGUGUCUCAAGCAAGCUGAUAGAAGCUAGAGAAGACCAUCUGGUUUGAGAUAAAGUACAACAGUGCCGGACCCACUGCUCUGCUCCAGAAAGCA
rnacentral:lncRNA from 1 species